rnacentral:lncRNA from 1 species
GGAAAGGAGGUCAGAUAAAGCUGUAUUUCCAUCUGAAAAGGGAGAAGGAGGGCAAAUACGGACAAUAACGCAUGAAGUGAGAGUCAGAAAAAAAUCUGCACAUAUAAAUAGAUAUAUAUGGAAGCAUCUCAUAAUGCUAUGGUGAUUCUUUAUAAAGAAUGAAGUUGCAGAUUGCCACACAUCACAAUAUGAAACGUCACCUGCUGGGAACGAACAGCCAGGCUGCAUUCCUUGUACUACCUAAAGAUCCCACGCCCUGUGAACGUUUCUGGAGAAACCUUCUCUUCCCUCCCAGGGAGGCUUCGCCUUUAUACUCCUAAAUCCUCCCUGCCCCCAUACCUGCUCAGCCCAGCAGUAUGAGCUCAGCCAGUGCUGGAAACUCUCACCUGGAGGUGAGAGAAUAGGGACACUGCUCCUCCCUCAGGAGUCUGGGGCUUCCUGGCAGCCACCAGGUGUCAUCAGCAGCUUGGCAGGUGGGUGCAUUUCCUGUCCCAGCCGCAGCAGAGACUCAGGCUGUUUCCUUCACCCUAGAAUGGAGCUGUUGGUUACCAUGUGCAAGUUUGUAAGAAUGAAAGGAUAAAGAAAAGAUGAAAAUUACUGUAGCAAUCAUUGAGUCUGCCCCCCUCCCAUAGUCUCAUUCUGCCUCUCUGGGCGCAUGGUGGAAUCAUACUUCCCUGCCCUCUGAAUCCGUGUUGGAGGCCAAGGAAAAGCGAGUGGAAGUGACACUGGUCGCUUCCCGGUGGCAAGCUCACCAACCAAUUUGCAAUUUGCCACAGUUUCCUUCUUCCUGCCACUACUCUGUCUGGUUCCAGAUGGCCCCAUUCCAUCUACUAGGGUCCCUGAGUGAGGAGGACAUGGAGGACAGCCCCUAGCCACCCCAAGAAGGACAUGUAGAAUGGAUACAAAUAAAUCUUUGUUUUGUUUUUGUUUUUGUUUUUUGAGGCAGAGUUUUGCUUCUGUCACCCAGGCUGGAGUGCAAUGAUGCAGUCUCGGCUCACUGCAACCUCCACCUCCUGGGUUCAAACAAUUCUCCUGCCUCAGCCUCAGCCUCCUGAGUAGCUGGGAUUACAGGCACCUGCCACUAUGCCUGGCUAAUUUUUGCAUUUUUAGUAGAGACGAAGUUUUGCCAUGUUGGCCAGGCUGGUCUCGAACUCCUGACCUCAGUUGAUCCACCCGCCUUGGCCUCCCAAAGUGCUGGGAUUACAGGCAUGAGCCAUUGUGCCUGGCCAAUCUUUGUGGUUUUAAGCACUGAGAUUUUGGCAUCAUUUGUUACCACAGCAUAACCUAACUUCCCAGACUGGUUGAACUUUUUUUUUCUAAGAGGGUCUCACUUUGUUGCCCAGGCUGGUCUCAAACUCCUGGGCUCAAGGGAUCCAUCUGGCUUGUCCUUCCAAAGUUCUGGGAUUACAGACGUGAGCCACCAUGACUGGCCAAAAGCUUUUUAUAAAAGGAUGAACCUACUCAAGAUUAUAGAAACUUAACAGAAGGAAGGAAGGUGUGCAGGCUGCUGGGAUCAUUUUGGGAUUCUUCCUCUUCCCUU